rnacentral:tRNA from 1 species
GGAUUGUUAGCUCAGCUGUAAGAGCACUGCCCGCUCUUUGCUAAGACAGGGUUGCCACUACUUCGAACCCAGUACAAUCCACCA